UGUUUAUACCUUUUAUUUUUAUAGUAUUUUUUUUUUAUUUUUAGUUUUUUUUUCUAUAACAAACUAAACUGACACUGUUGUGGCUCCAUACAUUUUUUACGUUUUGACGCUGCGUCAAAAAACAAACAUUACGUCACCUGGCGAACCGGCGCGCGCGUGCACACAGGUUGAAAUGAGGUGAGUUUGACCCGCGCGCUCAGGUGCGGAAGACAAAAAAAGGAGGGAAACGUGAACGUGUGUUUGUCUGAAUUCACUGAAUUACAGACACAAGUUUGUGUUUGGAACAAGAACUAAGGAGGAAAACCGCGUCUUGGAAACACGUCAGGCUGUAACUGGAGGUGGAGCAGAGAAAGAGGACAGCCAUGUCCAGAUACAUUACCUUUUGCAUCCCUUUUACUGGAGGAUUUCACUUGCCCUGAACAAGCCUGAAUCCAGGUUGCCCUUCACCUUCAGAAACUCAGCUGGUGAAGGCUCCUGAGGGGGUUUUGGCGCCGGGUAGCUCGGGGGCGGAGGAGGCACCGGGGGACACUGUGGAGGAGGCGGCGGCGGAUACGCUGGAGGCGGCGGCGG